GACGAACGCUGGCGGCGUGCUUAACACAUGCAAGUCGAGCGGUAAGGCCCUUUCGGGGGUACACGAGCGGCGAACGGGUGGGUAACACGUGGGUGACCUGCCCUCAGCUCUGGGAUAAGCCUGGGAAACCGGGUCUAAUACUGGAUAUGACUCCAUGACGCAUGUUGUGGGGUGGAAAGCCUUGUGCGGCUGAGGAUGGGCCCGCGGCCUAUCAGCUUGUUGGUGGGGUGAUGGCCUACCAAGGCGACGACGGGUAGCCGGCCUGAGAGGGCGACCGGCCACACUGGGGACUGAGACACGGCCCAGACUCCUACGGGAGGCAGCAGUGGGGAAUCUUGCGCAAUGGGCGAAAGCCUGACGCAGCGACGCCGCGUGAGGGAUGA
rnacentral:rRNA from 1 species